rnacentral:tRNA from 1 species
GGUUCCUGUGGUUGAAAUUGAACAACGACGGUUUUUCAGGCCGUAGGUCUUGGAAAAAAGCCAAGCAGGAAUU